UCGGCCCCGGUUCACGCUCCCGCACCGAGCGGUGGCGACCCGGAGCC
rfam:Streptomyces griseoflavus Tu4000 genomic scaffold supercont1.1, whole genome shotgun sequence.